rnacentral:rRNA from 1 species
UACGGAGGGUGCAAGCGUUAAUCGGAAUUACUGGGCGUAAAGCGCACGUAGGCGGUUUGGUAAGCUGGAUGUGAAAGCCCUGGGCUCAACCUGGGAACUGCCUUUGUGACUGCAUAGCUAGAGUACGGUAGAGGGGGAUGGAAUUCCGCGUGUAGCAGUGAAAUGCGUAGAUAUGCGGAGGAACACCGAUGGCGAAGGCAAUCCCCUGGACCUGUACUGACGCUGAGGUACGAAAGCGUGGGGAGCAAACAGGAUUAGAUACCCGGGUAGU